CACGUUGCACAUAGCAUGUGGGUAGCC
rnacentral:rRNA from 1 species